rnacentral:rRNA from 1 species
UACGUAGGGUGCGAGCGUUGUCCGGAAUUAUUGGGCGUAAAGAGCUUGUAGGCGGUCUGUCGCGUCUGCUGUGAAAAUCCGGGGCUCAACCCCGGACUUGCAGUGGGUACGGGCAGACUAGAGUGUGGUAGGGGAGACUGGAAUUCCUGGUGUAGCGGUGAAAUGCGCAGAUAUCAGGAGGAACACCGGUGGCGAAGGCGGGUCUCUGGGCCGUAACUGACGCUGAGGAGCGAAAGCGUGGGGAGCGAACAGG